rnacentral:rRNA from 1 species
UGAGGAAUAUUGGUCAAUGGACGGAAGUCUGAACCAGCCAAGUAGCGUGCAGGAUGACGGCCCUAUGGGUUGUAAACUGCUUUUAUAUGGGGAUAAAGUGGGUCACGUGUGGCUUAUUGCAGGUACCGUAUGAAUAAGGACCGGCUAAUUCCGUGCCAGCAGCCGCGGUAAUACGAAAGGUCCGGGCGUUAUCCGGAUUUAUUGGGUUUAAAGGGAGCGUAGGCCGUCUGUUAAGCGUGUUGUGAAAUGUCGGGGCUCAACCUGGGCAUUGCAGCGCGAACUGGCAGACUUGAGUGCGCGGGAAGUAGGCGGAAUUCGUCGUGUAGCGGUGAAAUGCUUAGAUAUGACGAAGAACUCCGAUUGCGAAGGCAGCCUGCUGUAGCGUAACUGACGCUGAAGCUCGAAAGCGUGGGUAUCGAACAGGAUUAGAUACCCUGGUAGU